GAUGAACGCUAGCGGCAGGCCUAAUACAUGCAAGUCGAGGGGCAGCAUGACUGUAGCAAUACAGUUGAUGGCGACCGGCAAACGGGUGCGGAACACGUACAGAACCUUCCUUCGAGCGGGGAAUAGCCCAGAGAAAUUUGGAUUAAUACCCCAUAGCAUUACGGAGUGGCAUCACUCUUUAAUUAAAGAUUUAUCACUUG
rnacentral:rRNA from 1 species